CCUACGGGAGGCAGCAGUAAGGAAUAUUGGACAAUGGUCGCAAGACUGAUCCAGCCAUGCCGCGUGAAGGAUGACGGCCCUAUGGGUUGUAAACUUCUUUUGUAUGGGAAAAAACCUCUCUACGUGUAGAGAGCUGAUUGUACCAUAAGAAUAAGGAUCGGCUAACUCCGUGCCAGCAGCCGCGGUAAUACGGAGGAUCCAAGCGUUAUCCGGAUUCAUUGGGUUUAAAGGGUGCGUAGGCGGAAUGAUAAGUCAGUGGUGAAAGCCUGCAGCUUAACUGCAGAACUGCCAUUGAUACUGUCAAUCUUGAGUACAUUUGAUGUGGGCGGAAUGUGUCAUGUAGCGGUGAAAUGCUUAGAUAUGACACAGAACACCGAUUGCGAAGGCAGCUCACAAAACUGUAACUGACGCUGAGGCACGAAAGACGUGGGUAGUCAAACAGGAUUAGAUACCUGGUAGUCCACGCUGUAACUAUGAUUACUCGAUGUUUGCGAUACACUGUAAGCGUCUAAGCGAAAGCGAUAAGUAAUCCACCUGGGAGUACGCGUCGCAGAGUAGAACGUUACAAAUUGAUUGACGG
rnacentral:rRNA from 1 species